AGGGGUGCCCUGUUGCCCUCCAAACGAUCUUCCAGGGCGUUAUCGAGGAAGUUGCGAGUAGCGACCACGUCCGGUCGAAAAGGGGGAAGCUGUGGUGUUGGUACGACGGGAUGGGAAACAGUGUACACCGGCA
rnacentral:SRP_RNA from 1 species